rnacentral:misc_RNA from 1 species
CAAAAUGCAAGCUUAGGUCCAGUUCCCAUGGGAGCCAUGCAGCCUGGCUCUGCACUAAUUCAUGGUCUUGGUUCUGGAUUUCUCCCAAGACGUAUUGACAUACAAAUUCGAAGAGGUUCACCAAGUACGGCAUCAAAUGGCAGUCCAGAGGAACGCAGUGGAGCUCAACAGCCUUCAGGGCAACAAGAAGCAGCCAGAGGUGUGGGUGAAAAUCCCACCAAUCAAGCAACCACUAGGAUUGUAGAGGGCCCAAGUGUGGGAGGAGAAUCUGGAGUGCGAGUAGUGCCAAUUAGGACCAUGGUUGCAGCAUUACCUGGACCCUUUAGCCGCUUACCUUCAAAUUCUUCGGGUAAUUCAUUUGGGUUAUACUAUCCUGUUCUUGGAAGAUUUCCUCACCCUGCUUCAGGAAAUGCAAGGGCCGAGCGAGGAAGUCAAGCUUCAUCAGAGCGUCAGUCUACUGGCCUCCAGAGUGAGCAACAUACAAUUCUUGAAUCUGUCGUGGAACAGCAAAAUGUAGAAGAUGCUGCAAGAGAUGGUGGGGCCCAAGAUACCCUAGAAUCUGAACGACAAGUUCCCAGCAAUGUUGUCCAAUUUCUUCGGACUCUCUUUCCCAGUGGUGAAAUCAACAUCGAAGAUGCCAGUUUCCAGGAGAUUAGUGGUUCUAUUCCUGCUCAUCAUUCAAUGGCAUCAAGUUCUGUUGCAAAUGUUCAAGAAUCAGAAUCAAGAACUAGUGAUGAAGGAAUGUUUUUGUCCAACAUAUUUCACCAAAUCAUGCCAUUCACAUCUCAACGAGGCAACGAGCCAGAUAUGUCUUCGGUAGAGGCAAAUGCCUCUGAGCGUCAAAACAUUCCAGAUUCUUCUGCAGAAGCUUCAAAUGGGGAUGCUGAAACAUCUCGCAGACGUGCUGAUGCUGAAGCAGGUGCUCCAAGUUCAAAACGUCAAAAGAAAGAUUGACACAACAAAAUGUGACUAGAGAUUAUGGGAUCUUAAUCUGAAAUUGCACCUUCAAACUUCUGGGAACGGAAAAUUAUCACAAAACAGGAUCAAAUCAACGGUGGAAUUCACUUUACAAGUUGCAAGGAGCACCACAGCAUUCUGCCCUCUGCCAAUUAAGUGUACUAUUUUUCAUUCUCUUUUUUUGCAUUUCUUCAUCCUCCCUUGGCCCCACCCUCCCCAUCACCUUGUACGAUAUGGUGUGACAUUACUAUUUUACGCCUCGCCCCCGUGCCUGGAACCCAAAAUGGAAAAGAAGUAAAAAUGAAAGCAUUCUUCGAAAUUUACAGUGUUCCCAUAUUUGUGAAUGGCCAUAAAACUAUUAGAUCAAAGUCCUUAUAAAGCACAUCUUCUGCUUCUUGAGUUUGUGCUUAAUGGAACUGUGAUUUGGGUUUCAGUCUUCCAUCUGAGAUUGCGG